GAUGAACGCUGGCGGUAUGCUUAACACAUGCAAGUCGAACGGACUCUUCGGAGUUAGUGGCGGACGGGUGAGUAACGCGUGAGAAUCUGGCUUUGGGUUCGGGACAACCACUGGAAACGGUGGCUAAUACCGGAUGUGCCGAGAGGUAAAAGAGAAAUUGCCUGAAGAUGAGCUCGCGUCUGAUUAGCUAGUUGGUGAGGUAAAGGCUCACCAAGGCAGCGAUCAGUAGCUGGUCUGAGAGGAUGACCAGCCACACUGGGACUGAGACACGGCCCAGACUCCUACGGGAGGCAGAAGUGGGGAAUUCUCCGCAAUGGGCGAAGGACUGACGGAGCAAUACCGCGUGAGGGAAGAAGGCUCUUGGGGUGUAAACCUCUUUUCUUAGGGAAGAACAAAAUGACGGUACCUAAGGAAUCAGCAUCGGCUAACUCCGUG
rnacentral:rRNA from 1 species